CUCUGGAUGAUAAUUGAACAUUUCUUCCUUUUUAAAAGGAAUUUUUUUGUAGUAUAUGAUUCCAACUUAAAAACUCAUUCAGGAAGAUUAUUUAAUACAGUUUUGUUGUUAGAUGAAAGGGGCAUAAUGAUUACGCAAAUAUGGGAACACAGUAAUAGGAAAAAGAUUCUCAAUAAGAGAGGUAAAAGUUAAUUCUACUUAUCACCAACUACAAGUGUAUUAGCCACAAACAUCUGUAGAUUUUUACAGACACAGAAAUUAACUAUAAACUGGGGGUGAAGUUGAAAACAUCUAUGGCAAUUCUUAAGAUGAAGGGUUAGGAGAAAUAUGUCACCAUCGGAGUGCCCUUUUUAAAGGUGUUAUUAGGCAGGAAGUAAAUACAUCAGGCGGAAAUUCAGCACUCCGAGAAAGUAUCUCAUGAGCUUCAUAAGCUGCCAACAAAAUGCAAUCCCUCAUUGCCAACAAAAUGCAAUCCGUCAAAUAGCUCAGUGAGAACCAGAGGAAAAUGUACUAAAACAGAAUGCCACAAGAAAAACUGAGAGCGUUAAGGAAAGUAACCUUAUUAUAUAGCCAAAUUUCAACAUUAGCAGUUGGCUUUAGCACACCACGUCCAUUAUAGUGGUACAAUCUCUCUCUCAGAUUUGCAUAUUUGCGAUGUGUGUGCGUCUCUCUCUCUCUCUUAUCAUUUUUGCAAUUUGGCUACCAUCUAUAGACACCUCUGAAAAUCGUUAUCUUACUUGCAGCCCAACAAUAAAGUAGUGGCUAUGCGCAUUUGUAGAUGCUACUUCUGGUAUAGAUUUGGGCCAACAGACUUUGUUU
rnacentral:lncRNA from 1 species